rnacentral:rRNA from 1 species
GACGGGUGAGUAAUGCCUAGGGAUCUGCCCAGUCGAGGGGGAUAACAGUUGGAAACGACUGCUAAUACCGCAUACCCCCUACGGGAGAAAGGAGGGGACCUUCGGGCCUUCCACGAUUGGUGAACCUAGGUGGGAUUAGCUAGUUGGUGAGGUAAUGGCUCACCAAGGCGACGAUCCCUAGCUGUUCUGAGAGGAUGAUCAGCCACACUGGGACUGAGACACCGCCCACACUCCUACCGGAGGCAGCAGUGGGGAAUAUUGCACAAUGGGGGAAACCCUGAUGCAGCCAUGCCGCGUGUGUGAAGAACGCCUUCCGGUUGUUAAGCACUUUCUUUACGGAGGAAAGGUUGUAAGUUAAUACCUUGCCUCUGUGACAUUUCCUACAGAAGAAGGACCGGCUAACUCCGUGCCACCGGCCGCGGUAAUACGGAGGGGCCAAGCGUUAAUCGGAAUUACUGGGCGUAUGGUCUGCGCAUGCUGCUGGUCCACCGAGAUGUGUUAGCCCCGGGCUCAACCUGGCAAUUGCCUUUCGAACUGUACAACUAGAGUCUUGUAGAGGGGGGUAGAAUUCCA